rnacentral:rRNA from 1 species
AUGUGGACCCGUCUUCGUCAGCGCUAUGAGCCCUCUAGUGAUGCCCUUUACCUUUCUCUGGUCCGUCAGGAUCAUGCUCUUUAGCAGGGAGACUCUACUGUUGAUGACUUCUAUGCACAGAGUUCUGCUAUCUGGCGCCAGCUUGAUUCUCUCCGCAGUGCUGGUUGUCGUACCUGCCCCUGUUGCUAGGCUGUCCAGGCCAAUUUGGAGUUUCAUCGCAUCUAUGAGUUCCUGUCUCGGCUUCGUAAGGAGUUUGAGCCCCGGCGUGCUCAGUUGUUUGCUCGUGGCCAUAUUUCUCUCAUGGAGGCGCUUUCUGAGAUUCGUGCUGAGGAGACUUGCUUACGUGGUGCUGGUUUGCUGGAGGUUCCCUCUGUGCUCGUUACUCGUGCUCCUACGCCACCUGCUGCACUGACCCCUUCUCGCUCGAGUGCUCCGCCGCUCUUGCCCACUCCUUCUGGAGGCUCAGGUCGCCCCCGUCCAUGUUGCGAAUAUUGCAACAAUGACGGUCAUCUUGACUCUCAGUGCUACACGAAGAAGAAACACCUGCACAAGGCACGAUCAUCAUCUUCAGGGACUUCGUCA